CCGUGCCCAAGAGAUCGGGAUAACACCUGGAAACAGAUGCUAAUACCGGAUAACAACAGAUGAUGCCUAUCAACUGUUUAAAAGAUGGUUCUGCUAUCACUCUUGGAUGGACCUGCGGUGCAUUAGCUAGUUGGUAGGGUAACGGCCUGCCAAGGCGAUGAUGCAUAGCCGAGUUGAGAGACUGAUCGGCCACAUUGGGACUGAGACGACGGCCCAAACUCCUACGGGAGGCAGCAGCC
rnacentral:rRNA from 1 species